rnacentral:rRNA from 1 species
UACAGAGGGUGCAAGCGUUAAUCGGAAUUACUGGGCGUAAAGCGUGCGUAGACGGUUAUUUAAGUCAGGUGUGAAAGCCCCGGGCUCAGCCCGGGAAGUGCGCUCGAAACUGCGCGGCUCGAGUGCCGGAGGGGAGAGUGGAAUUCCUGGUGUAGCGGUGAAAUGCGUAGAUAUCAGGAGGAAUACCGGUGGCGAAAGCGACUCUCUGGACGGCAACUGACGCUGAGGCACGAAAGCGUGGGGAGCAAACAGG